GACGAACGCUGGCGGCGUGCCUAAUACAUGCAAGUCGAACGCAGGGGGGACGGGGGAGUAACACGUGGGUAACCUCCCAUCAGAGGGGAUAACACUUGGAAACAGGUGCUAAACCGAUACUGAUGUAUGGACCCGCGGUGCAUUAGCUAGUUGGUGGGGUAACGGCUCACCAAGGCCACGAUGCAUAGCUGGUCUGAGAGGGUGACCGGCCACACUGGGACUGAGACACGGCCCAGACUCCUACGGGAGGCAGCAGUAGGGAAUCUUGGGCAAUGGACGAAAGCCUGAUCGAGCAACGCCGCGUGAGUGAAGAAGGUUUUCGGAUCGUAAAAUUCUGUUGUUAGAGAAGCGGUAUUUAACCAGAAAGCCCCGGCUAACUACGUGCCAGCAGCCGCGGUAAUUC
rnacentral:rRNA from 1 species